GAUGAACGCUAGCUAAAGGCUUAACACAUGCAAGUCGAGGGACCGGCGCACGGGUGAGUAACACGUAUACAACCAGCCCUUUAUUAGGGGAUAGCCUUUCGAAAGAAAGAUUAAUACCCGAUAUAAUGGAUGGGGAUGCGUUCCAUUAGGUUGUUGGUGAGGUAACGGUUCACCAAGCCUUCGAUGGGUAGGGGUUCGGAGAGGAAGGUACACCACAUGCGAAGUGAGACACGAUCCAAACUCCGACCGGAGGCAGCAGUGAGGAAUAUUGGUCAAUGGUCUCCAGCCUGAGCCAGCCAAGUAGCGUGAAGGAUGAAGGAUGAUGGGUCGUAAACUUCUUUUAGGUAAGAAUAUGUAUUAUAUGAAUGAGGAUCGGAUGACUCCGUGCGAUCAGCAGCGGUAGGUC
rnacentral:rRNA from 1 species